AUGCUCUGUAUAAUACUUUUCCCCGAGCGAUGGUUUAGCGGAUUCGGAAUUGUAACCAAGCAUCCUGGGUUCUAUACCCGAUUCAACACUAGAGCAUGCAGCCGAUCCUGGAUACAUAACUCUAAAAAGUGUGUGUGCAGUUUUGGAUCUUUAUUGGUAGCCAGUCUUUCACUUCUGCCUCUCCACUCCCAUGCCUUUCUUGGUCGGACCAACCCAACCGGCGAUUUCCGACAAGUCUUUCUGCUUAGAGCAAGAAGCGGAACCAAAAUAAAGCUUUCUUUAUUUUCAUUUAUGGAUAACCAAUCCAUUUUCCAAUAUAGUUGGGAGAUUUUACCCAAGAAAUGGGUACAUAAAAUGAAAAGAUCGGAACCUGGGAAUAGAUCUUAUACCAAUACUGACUACCCAUUUCCAUUGUUCUGCUUUCUAAAAUGGCAUACCUAUACAAGGGUUCAAGUUUCGAUCGAUAUUUGCGGAGUGGAUCAUCCCUCUCGAAAACGAAGAUUUGAAGUUGUCCAUAAUUUACUGAGUACUCGGUAUAACUCACGCAUUCGUGUACAAACAAGUGCAGACGAAGUAACACGAAUAUCUCCGGUAGUCAGUCUAUUUCCAUCAGCCGGCCGGUGGGAGCGAGAAGUAUGGGAUAUGUCUGGUGUUUCUUCCAUCAAUCAUCUGGAUUUACACCGUAUAUCAACAGAUUAUGGUUUCGAGGGUCAUCCAUUAUGA
rnacentral:rRNA from 1 species